UACGUAGGGGGCUAGCGUUGUCCGGAAUCAUUGGGCGUAAAGAGCGUGUAGGCGGCUUGGUAAGUCCGCUGUGAAAGUCCAGGGCUCAACCCUGGAAUGCCAGUGGAUACUGUCAAGCUAGAGUCCGGAAGAGGCGAGUGGAAUUCCUGGUGUAGCGGUGAAAUGCGCAGAUAUCAGGAGGAACACAAUGGCGAAGGCAGCUCGCUGGGACGGUACUGACGCUGAGACGCGAAAGCGUGGGGAGCAAACAGG
rnacentral:rRNA from 1 species